AACUUGAGAGUUUGAUCAUGGCUCAGAACGUACGCUGGCGGCACGCCUAACACAUGCAAGUCGAACGAAGUAGCAAUACUUAGUGGCAGACGGGUGAGUAACAUGUAGGUAUCUGCCCUUUGGCCUGGAAUAACACGAGGAAACUUGUGCUAAUACCGGAUAAGUCUUUACGGAGAAAGCUUUAUGCACCAUUGGAUGAGCCUGCACUUGAUUAGUUUGUUGGUGGGGUAAUGGCCUACCAAGACUGUGAUCAAUAGCUGAUUUGAGAGGAUGAUCAGCCACAUUGGGACUGAGACACGGCCCAAACUCCUACGGGAGGCAGCAGUGGGGAAUCUUGCACAAUGGAGGAAACUCUGAUGCAGCGAUGCCGCGUGAGUGAAGAAGGCCUUUGGGUUGUAAAGCUCUUUCGUCGGGGAAGAAAAUGACUGUACCCGAAUAAGAAGGUCCGGCUAACUUCGUGCCAGCAGCCGCGGUAAUACGAAGGGACCUAGCGUAGUUCGGAAUUACUGGGCUUAAAGAGUUCGUAGGUGGUUGAAAAAGUUAGUGGUGAAAUCCCAGAGCUUAACUCUGGAACUGCCAUUAAAACUUUUCAGCUAGAGUAUGAUAGAGGAAAGCAGAAUUUCUAGUGUAGAGGUGAAAUUCGUAGAUAUUAGAAAGAAUACCAAUUGCGAAGGCAGCUUUCUGGAUCAUUACUGACACUGAGGAACGAAAGCAUGGGUAGCGAAGAGGAUUAGAUACCCUCGUAGUCCAUGCCGUAAACGAUGUGUGUUAGACGUUGGAAAUUUAUUUUCAGUGUCGCAGCGAAAGCGAUAAACACACCGCCUGGGGAGUACGACCGCAAGGUUAAAACUCAAAUGAAUUGACGGGGACCCGCACAAGUAGUGGAGCAUGUGGUUUAAUUCGAAGAUACGCGCAGAACCUUACCAACACUUGACAUGUUCGUCGCGACUUUAAGAGAUUAAAGUUUUCGGUUCGGCCGGACGAAACACAGGUGCUGCAUGGCUGUCGUCAGCUCGUGUCGUGAGAUGUUGGGUUAAGUCCCGCAACGAGCGCAACCCUCACUUUUAGUUGCCAUCAUUAAGUUGGGCACUCUGAAAGAACUGCCAGUGAUAAGCUGGAGGAAGGUGGGGAUGACGUCAAGUCCUCAUGGCCCUUACGUGUUGGGCUACACACGUGCUACAAUGGUAUCUACAACAGGAAGCAAAACUGCGAAGUUAAGCAAAUCCUUAAAAGAUACCUCAGUUCGGAUUGCACUCUGCAACUCGAGUGCAUGAAGCUGGAAUUACUAGUAAUCGUGGAUCAGCGUGCCACGGUGAAUGCGUUCCCGGGUCUUGUACACACCGCCCGUCACACCAUGGGAGUUGGUUCUACCUUAAGGCAAGGUUUCAAACCCUUGACCACGGUAUAGUCAGCGACUGGGGUGAAGUCGUAACAAGGUAGCCGUAGGGGAACCUGCGGCUGGAUUACCUCCUU
rnacentral:rRNA from 1 species